UAAGCCUGGUUCAUACUGUUGUUCUUUAGUGUCUCUAAGCCAGGUUCAUACUGUUGCUAUUCAGUGUCUCUAAGCCAGGUUCAUACUGUUGUUCUUUAGUGUCUCUAAGCCAGGUUCAUACUGUUGCUAUUCAGUGUCUCUAAGCCAGGUUCAUACUGUUGCUAUGUAGUGUCUCUAAGCAAGGUACAUACUGUUCCUAUUCAGUGUCUCUAAGCUAGGUUUAUACUGUUGCUAUUUAGUGUCUCUAAGCCAGGUUCAUACUGAUGUUCUUUAGUGUCUCUAAGCAAGGUUCAUACUGUUGCUAUUAAGUGUCUCUAAGCAAGGUACGUACUGUUGCUAUUCAUUGUCUCUAAGCCAGGUUCAUACUGUUGUUCUUUAGUGUCUCUAAGCAAGGUUCAUACUGUUGUUCUUUAGUGUCUCUAAGCCAGGUUCAUACUGUUGUUCUUUAGUGUCUCUAAGCCAGGUUCAUACUGUUGCUAUUCAGUGUCUCUAAGCCAGGUUCAUACUGUUGCUAUUUAGUGUCUCUAAGCAAGGUACAUACUGUUGCUAUUCAGUGUCUCUAAGCCAGGUUUAUACUGUUGCUAUUUAGUGUCUCUAAGCAAGGUUCAUACUGUUGUUCUUUAGUGUCUCUAAGCAAGGUUCAUACUGUUGCUAUUUAGUGUCUCUAAGCAAGGUACCCCGGUACGUACUGUUGCUAUUCAGUGUCUCUGAGCCAGGUUCAUACUAUUGCUAUUUAGUGUCUCUAAGCCAGGUUCAUACUGUUGCUAUUUAGUGUCUCUAAGCCAGGUACAUACUGUUGUUCUUUAGUGUCUCUAAGCCAGGUUCAUACUGUUGUUAUUUAGUGUCUCUAAGCCAGGUUCAUGCUGUUGCUAUUUAGUGUCUCUAAGCCAGAUUCAUGCUGUUGCUAUUUAGUGUCUCUAAGCCAGGUACAUACUGUUGUUCUUUAGUGUCUCUAAGUCAGGUUCAUACUGUUGCUAUUUAGUGUCUCUAAGCAAGGUACGUACUGUUCCUAUUCAGUGUCUCUAAGCCAGGUUCAUACUGUUGUUAUUUAGUGUCUCUAAGCAAGGUUCAUACUGUUGUUCUUUAGUGUGUCUGAGCAGGGUUCAUAAUGUUGCUAUUUAGUGUCUCUAAGCAAGGUUCAUACUGUUGCUAUUCAGUGUCUCUAAGCCAGGUUCAUACUGUUGCUAUUUAGUGUCUCUAAGCAAGGUACGUACUGUUGCUAUUCAGUGUCUCUAAGCCUGGUUCAUACUGUUGUUAUUCAGUGUCUUUAAUCAAGGUGCGUACUGUUGCUAUUCAGUGUCUCUAAGCCAGGUUCAUACUGUUGCUAUUCAGUGUCUCUAAGCCAGGUUCAUACUGUUGCUAUUCAGUGUCUCUAAGCCAGGUACAUACUGUUGUUCUUUAGUGUCUCUAAGCCAGGUUCAUACUGUUGUUAUUUAGUGUCUC